rnacentral:rRNA from 1 species
UACGAAGGGGGCUAGCGUUGCUCGGAAUCACUGGGCGUAAAGCGCACGUAGGCGGAUUGCUAAGUCAGGGGUGAAAUCCUGGAGCUCAACUCCAGAACUGCCUUUGAUACUGGCGACCUUGAGUCCGGGGAGAGGUGAGUGGAACUGCGAGUGUAGAGGCGAAAAUUCGUAGAUAUUCGCAAGAACACCAGUGGCGAAGGCGGCUCACUGGCCCCGGUACUGACGCUGAGGCACGAAAAGCGUGGGGGAGCAAACAGG